GACGUAGGGCGCGAGCGUUGUCCGGAUUUAUUGGGCGUAAAGAGCUCGUAGGCGGCUCGUUGCGUCGGCUGUGAAAACCCGCAGCUCAACUGUGGGCUUGCAGCCGAUACGGGCGGGCUGGAGUUCGGUAGGGGAGACUGGAAUUCCAGGUGUAGCGGUGAAAUGCGUAGAUAUCUGGAGGAACACCGGUGGCGAAGGCGGCAUCCUGGACCGGUAUUGACGCUGAGGCGCGAAAGCUAGGGGAGCAAACGGG
rnacentral:rRNA from 1 species